rnacentral:rRNA from 1 species
AACCAACAGGGAUUGCUCUAGUAACGGCGAGUGAAGCAGCAAUAGCUCAAAUUUGAAAUCUGGCGUCUUCGGCGUCCGAGUUGUAAUUUGUAGAGGAUGCUUCUGGGCAGCCACCGACCUAAGUUCCUUGGAACAGGACGUCAUAGAGGGUGAGAAUCCCGUAUGCGGUCGGAAAGGCACCCUACACGUAGCUCCUUCGACGAGUCGAGUUGUUUGGGAAUGCAGCUCUAAAUGGGAGGUAAAUUUCUUCUAAAGCUAAAUAUUGGCCAGAGACCGAUAGCGCACAAGUAGAGUGAUCGAAAGAUGAAAAGCACUUUGGAAAGAGAGUUAAAAAGCACGUGAAAUUGUUGAAAGGGAAGGGAUUGCAACCAGACUUGCUCGCGGUGUUCCGCCGGUCUUCUGACCGGUUCACUCGCCGCGUUGCAGGCCAGCAUCGUCUGGUGCCGCUGGAUAAGACUGGAGGAAUGUAGCUCCCUCGGGAGUGUUAUAGCCUCUAGUGAUGCAGCGAGCGCCGGGCGAGGUCCGCGCUUCGGCUAGGAUGCUGGCGUAAUGGUCGUAAUCCGCCCGUCUUGAAACACGGACCAAGGAGUCUAACAUCUAUGC